AUGCAAGUCGAGCGGAUGAGAGGAGCUUGCUCCUCGAUUCAGCGGCGGACGGGUGAGUAAUGCCUAGGAAUCUGCCUAGUAGUGGGGGACAACGUUUCGAAAGGAACGCUAAUACCGCAUACGUCCUACGGGAGAAAGUGGGGGAUCUUCGGACCUCACGCUAUUAGAUGAGCCUAGGUCGGAUUAGCUAGUUGGUAGGGUAAAGGCCUACCAAGGCGACGAUCCGUAACUGGUCUGAGAGGAUGAUCAGUCACACUGGAACUGAGACACGGUCCAGACUCCUACGGGAGGCAGCAGUGGGGAAUAUUGGACAAUGGGCGAAAGCCUGAUCCAGCCAUGCCGCGUGUGUGAAGAAGGCCUUCGGGUCGUAAAGCACUUUAAGUUGGGAGGAAGGGCUCAUAGCGAAUACCUGUGAGUUUUGACGUUACCAACAGAAUAAGCACCGGCUAACUUCGUGCCAGCAGCCGCGGUAAUACGAAGGGUGCAAGCGUUAAUCGGAAUUACUGGGCGUAAAGCGCGCGUAGGUGGCUUGAUAAGUUGGAUGUGAAAUCCCCGGGCUCAACCUGGGAACUGCAUCCAAAACUGUCUGGCUAGAGUGCGGUAGAGGGUAGUGGAAUUUCCAGUGUAGCGGUGAAAUGCGUAGAUAUUGGAAGGAACACCAGUGGCGAAGGCGACUACCUGGAC
rnacentral:rRNA from 1 species